UAGCCGAGCUAAAUUUAAUUUUAUUUUGUGUUAUUUUUUUAUCAUUGUUCAUACCUUUUUUAUUGUGAACUCCACCAAAUAUUGGUUCCUAGUUGUAAGUUGAUUUCGUUGUUCCGUAUGGCAUGCCUUUUGUUUCCCGGGGGAGUGGUUUGGCGUUGCACCUGUGUGUCUAGCGUCAGUGAGCGCUGAUGCACGGAGCUGAGUGGAGAGUGAUAUCCCGGAUUGUGUGUGACGCCCGUGUUGUUUUGUCUCCUUUGGAAAG